rnacentral:rRNA from 1 species
CCUACGGGGGGCAGCAGUGGGGAAUUUUGCGCAAUGCUCGUAAGAGUGACGCAGCGACGCCGCGUGAAUGACGAAGGCCUUCGGGUCGUAAAGUUCUUUCGACAGGGAAGAAAAUGCCUAUAAGUAACUGUGUAUGUAUUGACGGUACCUGUAUAAGCAGCCCCGGCUAACUCCGUGCCAGCAGCUGCGGUAAUACGGAGGGGGCGAGCGUUGUUCGGAGGGACUGGGCGUAAAGAGCACGUAGGCGGUGUUGUAAGUCAUUAGUCAAAGACUAGAGCUCAACUUUAGUAAGGCUAGUGAUACUAUAAUACUAGAGUAUGAGAGAGGAUUGCAGAAUUCCUGGUGUAGCGGUGAAAUGCGUAGAUAUCAGGAGGAAUACCGUUAGCGAAGGCGGCAAUCUGGCUGGAAACUGACGCUGAGGUGCGAAAGCGUGGGUAGCAAACAGGAUUAGAUACCCGAGUAGUC